rnacentral:lncRNA from 1 species
AAAGAAUUUUCUACAUUUUACAAAGAACUAAGAAAAAACCCAAAGAAAGCACUUUGUCCUGGGGAUCUGUGGUCUCGAGCUCUGUUGCUUGUUAAAGCCUUAAAUAAAGUCAAUAUUUUGUGAUGAGACCAUUUUAGAGGACAUGCUUGCAUAUCUGUGAUGUGCCCAUGGACUCCCAACAGAUGCUGCUAUUUUCGUAAUGACAUUUUCUAGCAGCAGAGAUGAAACAAAUAUUGAGGCGUUGAGCUCCUUUCUUUGUUAUAUCAGAUUAGAAUGUAAUGCCAAUUGCAUCCAGCUUCAAACAAACUCAAGGAAUAAAAAU